GCAGGACUUUGGCAAACACCUUCUCUGCCAGGAGCCGCACCUGCUCGUCCACCUCGGAAAUGUUCAGCUUGGGAAACUGCCGGGGCAUCUCGCCUGAGAGGAGCACAGAACCCAAGUUCAUGCUCUCCAGUCGAGCAUAAGAUGCUAAGACACAGAAUAGUUUGAAAUGUACAUUCACCCACAUCACUGCUAGCUCAUGGCACGGAAAUGAGCCGAAUAAACCUAAAACAGUCAUGAGGCACCUCAAGCAAUACUUGUGCAAGCUGUGCCAUCCUGAAUUGGAAGAGGCUUUUGUAUCCAGUAUCCUUCUACUGAACUGCUGUCCUUUGCCCAAGUAACUCUGGAUGUCUUCAUCAGCUGCUGCUGGCAACACCCUGACAAAAUAUCUGCCACCCAGGAAAUCACAUACUUGGUAUCUGUGACUGUCAAUGGAACACACUCUGAAGGUUAUUUACUUUUCAAAACUCU